rnacentral:rRNA from 1 species
UGGGGAAUUUUGGACAAUGGGCGCAAGCCUGAUCCAGCAAUGCCGCGUGCAGGAUGAAGGCCUUCGGGUUGUAAACUGCUUUUGUACGGAACGAAAAGCUUCUGGUUAAUACCUGGGAGUCAUGACGGUACCGUAAGAAUAAGCACCGGCUAACUACGUGCCAGCAGCCGCGGUAAUACGUAGGGUGCGAGCGUUAAUCGGAAUUACUGGGCGUAAAGCGUGCGCAGGCGGUUAUAUAAGACAGAGGUGAAAUCCCCGGGCUCAACCUGGGAACUGCCUUUGUGACUGCAUGGCUAGAGUGCGGCAGAGAGGGAUGGAAUUCCGCGUGUAGCAGUGAGAUGCGUAGAUAUGCGGAGGAACACCGAUGGCGAAGGCAAUCCCCUGGGCCUGCACUGACGCUCAUGCACGAGAGCGUGGAGAGAAAACA